CCUGGCUGCAUGCACAAACUCUGGGCAUACUGCUCUCCUGCAGAAAAAAAUACACAGGGCCUGUUCCACACCAACAGCACGGGAGGCAUACUUAUACAUCAAGCAGCAGCUUGAUUUACCACCAACGCCAACUAAAACCAAAGAGAGCGGUCAAAUGUGAGCCAUUUCAUCUGUUCAGAAGCUGUGAACCCUGGGGAAAUCAAUACUUUCAGGCAACCAAAAUGGAAUAUAAUUAAACACUUAAAUAAACACCUUACAAAGGAAGCUCAUGAGUCGAUAACAUCAGCAGCUAAGGACACCCAGCACCACCAGGCAGGUUGAGACCCCAACUGCAGAUCACCUUCUCUACUGUCUACCACCACUUCUCUCCCCGUAGCAGAAGAAGCUCUGAAGGCACAGUCACUCCCCAAAACACCAAAGGACACUAUCACUGAAUAUGCAAUUUUGAGUGCUGCAGAACGGGCUGGAGCUGGCUGCCUUUUUACAGAGGUAAGCAGAUAAGAUUUAAUUUGCAGGGCACAGAUGAAAAUUGCCAAUAGGCAGAAUGGAGUGGUGCAGAGAUAGCAUUUUCCUUUGAUCUUAAGCUGGCACCAUUUCUUAUGCUAUACAUAUUGCUAGUGCAGGGAAACAAUUUUGUAUUCUUCACUUUGCAAACACUACUUUUAAAACAGCUCCUUCUUGGCUCCACAGCCAUCUGGGUGCACGACAACUCUCAGUGCACAAAUGGGACGUCUCAGUUUGGUAGAUGAAUUCAGUUUUCCUUUGUAAUUUGAAACAUUUUGUUUAGGGCUACAUUUCUAUACACUUUACCUACUGUACUUUGCUUACAAGCGUUGCUGUUUGCUUUACGCCACGUGUGAAUGGUGCCAACAGACCCAAAGCAAAAGCUCCACCAGGAAACAGACUUCAGAGGAAGGGAAAAAGUCUUCCUACCCCACCCUCAAUCCCUGCUAAGCUUCAAGAUGAGGGUCACUUUGUGAACAGCUGUGACUUCCAAUGGUAGCGCUCACUGAAGAUAUAAGGCAGCAGGAGAAAAAAGACCUGUUUCUGAGCAAGUAAGUUCCUGACCCAAGCUGAAACAACAGAAUCACCACUGAAAGCUAGCUGCAGUCCAACAAGCUGGAAGGAAGAGGAAUGACCAAAGCUCUCACUGUGGGAAGGAGGGGGAAUAUGGACCAACAGCGACCUGCUGGAAAAAUGCAGCCACUGUUGAAAUGCCCAUGUGUUUGAAUCUAGAGAUCUGCUCACCUCCUCAGCACAAUUCAGCAAAGGUACAUCUAUGAGAUCAAGAUUAUUUCAACACUCACUAGCAGAAAACAGAGAAAGCAGGGAAAAAAAAAAAAAGGAGCUGGAGAAAUCAGAGGGAUAAGAAAUCCAGGAUGGGUAUUUCUCUGAUUCAGGCUUUAAAAGAAAGCAUGAAUUGAUACAAUUAACAGAAGCAAAAGAACUAGCAGAGAACUACACUACAAAGAAAGGUAGAAAGUGUAUAUACAGGGGGAAACAGAUCCCAAGGUCUUUGGAUUUGUGGUGAGCCUCACUUUUUACUGCUCCAACAGCAACA